GAUGAACGCUGGCGGCGUGCUUAACACAUACAAGUCGAACGAUGAAGCCCAGCUUGCUGGGUGGAUUAGUGGCGAACGGGUGAGUAACACGUGAGUAACCUGCCCUUGACUCUGGGAUAAGCCUGGGAAACUGGGUCUAAUACUGGAUAUGACUUCUCAUCGCAUGGUGGGGGGUGGAAAGAUUUAUUGGUCUUGGAUGGACUCGCGGCCUAUCAGCUUGUUGGUGAGGUAAUGGCUCACCAAGGCGACGACGGGUAGCCGGCCUGAGAGGGUGACCGGCCACACUGGGACUGAGACACGGCCCAGACUCCUACGGGAGGCAGCAGUGGGGAAUAUUGCACAAUGGGCGCAAGCCUGAUGCAGCGACGCCGCGUGAGGGAUGACGGCCUUCGGGUUGUAAACCUCUUUCAGUAGGGAAGAAGCGAGAGUGACGGUACCUGCAGAAGAAGCGCCGGCUAACUACGUG
rnacentral:rRNA from 1 species